UACGUAGGAGGCGAGCGUUGACCGGAAUUACUGGGUGUAAAGAGCGUGUAGGCGGGUUGGCAAGUCAGAUGUGAAAUACAACGGCUCAACUGGGGGGGUGCAUCUGAAACUGCCGAUCUUGAGUGCUGGAGAGGAAAGCGGAAUUCCUCGUGUAGCGGUGAAAUGCGUAGAUAUGUGGAGGACCACCAGUGGCGAAGGCGGCUUUCUGGACAGUAACUGACGCUGAGGCGAGAAAGCGUGGGGAGCAAACAGG
rnacentral:rRNA from 1 species